UGGUAUCUUAGGAGAGUUUAUGUUCUUGGACUACAUACUAGAAGGUACGUUAUGCAGACAGUGAAAAGACAGGAUUGAAUUAUUAGAAUAUACUUUACAGGGAGAAAUGUGUGAACCAUGUUAAAUACCUUGCAUGAAGCAUGUGCAAAUAUAUGAAUAUGAGAUUAUGCUUAUUUUGGUAAAAAGUACGCUAUUGAAAAGUAAACUAAUUGUUUAUUUUCAGUCUACCUAAUGUUCUUUUUAAAGAGUAACAUCUAUUCUAAUACUUUUUAUCAGAGAAUUUGGAAUUUGUCAACACGUAGGUAGAAAAAAAUUGGCAAGUGACUGGUUCUUUUAAAUAGCUCUUAAGAAAAUUGGCACAGAGCUUGCCAUUUGAAAUAAUUAUGAAAACCAGGGGAAGCCAGCUGUAACUUUUAUUUCUUUCAGAAUUUAUAAUAACUUCCAGCUAAAGAAAGCUAUCACUCCUAUAGUUCUUGAAGAAUAAAUCUAUGACUUUUUUUCUCUUAGGAGCAAAAAAACAAAACAAAACAAAAAAA
rnacentral:lncRNA from 1 species